GACAGAGGGUGCAAACGUUGUUCGGAAUUACUGGGCGUAAAGGGCGCGUAGGCGGCCUGCUAAGUCGAACGUGAAAUCCCCGAGCUCAACUCGGGAACUGCGUCCGAUACUGACAGGCUUGAAUCCGGGAGAGGGAUGCGGAAUUCCAGGUGUAGCGGUGAAAUGCGUAGAUAUCUGGAGGAACACCGGUGGCGAAGGCGGCAUCCUGGACCGGCAUUGACGCUGAGGCGCGAAAACUAGGGGAGCAAACGGG
rnacentral:rRNA from 1 species